rnacentral:lncRNA from 1 species
GUAGGUGACCACCUUGCUGACAGUGGCACCCGCCCUCUGGGCCCCCUGCUCCCAGCUCCCACCUCUCAGGGUGGCUCUGCCAUCUUCACCCACUGCAGACAACGGCUCUCACUCCCAGCAGCCAUCCUUCCAUGGUGAUGGAGUAAAGCACUCCAGAGUCAGGGAGGUGUGGCUUUGAACACAACUACUGGAGCAAGAGACCCUGCCUCCUGCCUCCCUAAGCCUCAGUUACCAAACCUGGAAAAGGAUGUCACAGUUCCAAGGUCCAGCCUAUAGGGUGAUCAGCCCCAUGCUCAGCCCAGGAUGACAAAGGCCCUGACUUCACCAAGGUUCUAUUUUCAAAAUGCACAGAACCCCUGGCCCAUGAGGCUGUCCAUCCUGGUCCUCUGUGUCAUCUGAUCCCUCAGACUUGCCUUCCUGACCCUCGGAUGGGGGCAGGGGUGAAUCCUUCGAGCUUACCUGUCCAGGCCUCAUGAAUGCUCAUGCAGCCAGACACCAGUGCACACGUGCCAGCGCCACCUUCCGGCUCACCCUCCAGAGCCUACCGGACACCUGCUGGGAGCCCAGCCCACUGGCUUUCUCCCCAGAGACCAGGCCCAAGAAAGAUUCCUCCCAACACAUGCCCCCUCCCCAGCUCGCAAGAAGCUCCCUCAGCAAGGGCCUAGACCAGAGAACUAGCAUCCAGACCCCACUUAACAAAGGAAAAGAGACCAAUAAGCCAAAGACUGAAGGAAAGAAGAGAGGGAAAGAACACGGGGGAGGGAGAUAUGGGCAGGGAGGGGCAGCAGGAGGCAGAGAGUGACAGAUGACGGAGGGUGGGUGGAACGCGAUGGAAGGAGGUGAAGAGGGGAGAGUGCCAGCUGUGAGGGUGGGGGUGAGGGAAGGGGACAGAGAAAACAGUCCAAGGCUGCCAUGACUGACCCAAUGAGAACCUACCACGACGCCCGGCUCAUAAGCAGGCUGCACACCGAGCAGGUCCCUGGCACGCGGAGGCCCAAAGGCCUA